rnacentral:rRNA from 1 species
CCUACGGGUGGCUGCAGUGGGGAAUAUUGCACAAUGGGGGAAACCCUGAUGCAGCGACGCCGCGUGAGUUACUCCUUACUUCGUUAUGUACCGCUCUAUCAGCAGGGAAGAAAAUGACGGUACCUGAGUAAGAAGCCCCGGCUAACUACGUGCCAGCAGCCGCGGUAAUACGUAGGGGGCAAGCGUUAUCCGGAUGUACUGGGUGUAAAGGGAGCGUAGACGGCAGUGCAAGUCUGGAGUGAAAGGCGGGGGCUCAACCCCCGGACUGCUCUGGAAACUGUACGGCUGGAGUGCAGGAGAGGUAAGUGGAAUUCCUAGUGUAGCGGUGAAAUGCGUAGAUAUUAGGAGGAACACCAGUGGCGAAGGCGGCUUACUGGACUGUAACUGACGUUGAGGCUCGAAAGCGUGGGGAGCAAACAGGAUUAGAUACCCUGGUAGUC